AACGAACGCUGGCGGCGCGCCUAAUACAUGCAAGUCGAGCGAGAAGGUGUAGCAAUACACUUGUAAAGCGGCGAACGGGUGAGGAAUACAUGGGUAACCUACCAUCGAGUGGGGAAUAACCAGCCGAAAGGCUGGCUAAUACCGCGUACGCUUCCGGAUUUUCGAGUUCGGAAGGAAAGCGAUACCGUGGGUAUCGCGCUCUUUGAUGGGCUCAUGUCCUAUCAGCUUGUUGGUAGGGUAACGGCCUACCAAGGCUUUGACGGGUAGCUGGUCUGAGAGGACGAUCAGCCACACUGGCACUGCGACACGGGCCAGACUCCUACGGGAGGCAG
rnacentral:rRNA from 1 species